UACGUAGGUGGCAAGCGUUGUCCGGAUUUACUGGGUGUAAAGGGCGUGUAGCCGGGUUGACAAGUCAGAUGUGAAAUCCUGCGGCUUAACCGCAGAACUGCAUUUGAAACUGUUGAUCUUGAGUACUGGAGAGGCAGACGGAAUUCCUAGUGUAGCGGUGAAAUGCGUAGAUAUUAGGAGGAACACCAGUGGCGAAGGCGGCCUGCUGGACCGCGACUGACGUUGAGGCUCGAAAGCGUGGGGAGCAAACAGG
rnacentral:rRNA from 1 species